UCCAUCAAGUGGGAUACCUUCAAGUCGAUUGAAAGGUGACUUCUUCUAGGGAUGUCCUAGGGUAGGGCUCCUUGGACAAGUCCGUGCCCCUACCCUAGAUACAUGGCUUCAUCACCAAUAGUACUUUAUUUUCUUUCUAACAUGAAAAUGAUUAACUUCGAAGAGUUUCAUGUGUUGUACCCAGCUGUCCCUAAGCAAGAUAAUCGGUAUUUAAGUUUUUCUGCCUUUUCAUGUUCUUGUUUAAUUUUUAUACAGAUUUGUAUGAAAGCUUUAUUUUUCUUAUUUGUGUUUUUUUUAUCUUUUCAUCCAUGAACGUGGUGUCUUCACAUUUAAGUAUAUGGAGAUAUUCACACCAAGAACUCAGAUGGCAAACUUUUUCUCCAGUGCAGACAUUCCAAAUCUUAGGAUCAGAUAUGCGAAUGACAUGUUUUGCAGCCCCAUGAACAGUUGUGACAAGUCUUUCGUAACUGGUUUCUAUCGUGAUGGAGAAGCAAUGCCGGGUGAGGUUAAACAUGUGUGCGGUCCUAGCACAAAUGGUGGCUGAGUUCUUUUUUUAGUAGCAUGUAAUCUGAACAAAGUAGCAUGCAAUCUGAGCAUAUCAGUAUUUUUGAUUUAGUAGUGGUCUGUAUGUUUUUUCAUUUUGAUUGUAGUGUCAUGUCUUUAUGCCUGUAACUCUGCAGUACGUAUUUUGAGCAGAUUUUUGAUUCUAUAUCAAGGGUCCUUUUUUUGUUAA